AUAUUCAGUAUGCUUAGUACGGCGAGUGAAGCGGCAAAAGCUCAAAUUUGAAAUCUGGCACCUUCGGUGUCCGAGUUGUAAUUUGAAGAAGGUAACUUUGGAGUUGGCUCUUGUCUAUGUUCCUUGGAACAGGACGUCACAGAGGGUGAGAAUCCCGUGCGAUGAGAUGCCCAAUUCUAUGUAAAGUGCUUUCGAAGAGUCGAGUUGUUUGGGAAUGCAGCUCUAAGUGGGUGGUAAAUUCCAUCUAAAGCUAAAUAUUGGCGAGAGACCGAUAGCGAACAAGUACAGUGAUGGAAAGAUGAAAAGAACUUUGAAAAGAGAGUGAAAAAGUACGUGAAAUUGUUGAAAGGGAAGGGCUUGAGAUCAGACUUGGUAUUUUGCGAUCCUUUCCUUCUUGGUUGGGUUCCUCGCAGCUUACUGGGCCAGCAUCGGUUUGGAUGGUAGGAUAAUGACUAAGGAAUGUGGCUCUACUUCGGUGGAGUGUUAUAGCCUUGGUUGAUACUGCCUGUCUAGACCGAGGACUGCGUCUUUUGACUAGGAUGUUGGCAUAAUGAUCUUAAGCCACCCGUCUAAAACAAGGGACCAAAAAAAAACAUAAACCUUAAAAAAAAAAUAUAAAAA
rnacentral:rRNA from 1 species